rnacentral:rRNA from 1 species
CAGCCGCCGCGGGAAUACGGAGGGGGCUAGCGUUGUUCGGAAUUACUGGGCGUAAAGCGCACGUAGGCGGCUUUGUAAGUUAGAGGUGAAAGCCCGGAGCUCAACUCCGGAAUUGCCUUUAAGACUGCAGAGCUAGCAGGUGAGAGAGGUGAGUGGAAUUCCGAGUGUAGAGGUGAAAUUCGUAGAUAUUCGGAAGAACACCAGUGGCGAAGGCGGCUCACUGGCUCAUACUGGACGCUGAGGUGCGAAAGCGUGGAGAGCAAACAGGAUUAGAUACCCGAGUAGUCCCUGUCUCUUAUAC